rnacentral:tRNA from 1 species
GGCGGCGUAGCUCAGUUGGUAGAGCACGGGAAUCAUAAUCCUUUGGUCGGGGGUCCGAGUCCCUCCGCCGCUACCA